AGUGAACGCUGGCGGUAGGCCUAACACAUGCCAGUCGAACGGCAGCACAGUAAGAGCUUGCUCUUACGGGUGGCGAGUGGCGGACGGGUGAGGAAUACAUCGGCAUCUACUUUUUCGUGGGGGAUAACGUAGGGAAACUUACGCUAAUACCGCAUACGACCUACGGGUGAAAGCAGGGGAUCUUCGCACCUUGCGCGAUUGAAUGAGCCGAUGUCGGAUUAGCUAGUUGGCGGGGUAAAGGCCCACCAAGGCGACGAUCCGUAGCUGGUCUGAGAGGAUGAUCAGCCACACUGGAACUGAGACACGGUCCAGACUCCUACGGGAGGCAGCAGUGGGGAAUAUUGGACAAUGGGCGCAAGCCUGAUCCAGCCAUACCGCGUGGGUGAAGAAGGCCUUCGGGUUGUAAAGCCCUUUUGUUGGGAAAGAAAAGCAGCAGGUGAAUACCCCGCUGUUCUGACGGUACCCAAAGAAUAAGCACCGGCUAACUUCGUG
rnacentral:rRNA from 1 species